rnacentral:tRNA from 1 species
GUUGUAGUUCAGUGGUAGAACCUCUGCUUGGCAUACAGAAGGCCCCAGGUUCAAUUCCCAGCAUCUCCA